ensembl:lncRNA
GGAAUCACAAUCCAGGGUUCCUGUGCAUAGGAGACAAGUUCCCUUGGCUGCUUGGAAAACUACUAAGGUGGAGAGAAUAUCUGGAGAAGCCUAGACUCCCAUGAGGAGUGCGCAGGUGCUGGCUUGCCACCAGACAGGUAGAGGGAAGUCUGCCCUAGUGGCUACUGCCUCACUGUGUUCCCCACUCUGAGCCAAGGAAACAGUCCUGCCUACCUACUCCACACCAUAGCUUGGCACUGGGUCUAGGGCAAAGAUUUGAUUUAGGGACACAGAGGUAGCCCAGGGGCUCGAGUGUGUUCUGGUGUUCCAGAGGGGGCAGCAGUGACCACUGUGCACCCCAGAAGAAGCCCAGAUUUCUAAUGGCAGUGUGGCUGCUUAAAAUCCCAUGACCACCAGUCUACCAUCCUAAUCUCAGAUGAGAACAUGUUCUGGCCCUGCCCACUCGAUGCCACAACCUAGCAAUAGAUCUGUAGUGACCACAACAGGGAAGAAGAUGUGAAUGUGGGUUGUGUCCUCUUUGAUCUGCACUGCAGAUGCCUACAAAGGCAGUGCAUGGGACCUCUGUAAGUAUAUGAGUCCCACUUGCUCCAUCAUUACCCUCCUUUGGGGGCAAAGGCCCCAAUGCAGGGAGAAGGAAAAACACACACGUAAAUGAAAAGAACUAGCUUAAGCCAGAUACUCAUUCUUCUGCUCCAGCACCUUGGGAGCAGACACCAUCCCUGAGAGGGUGGAGGUGGCCACUGAGCAGAGAGGAAAUCCUAUUUAAUACCUUGUACGAGCUCUGGCUCUUCCUUCACCAGCCACAACCCCCACUAAGGUGAGAGUAGCGAGUACACCCUGAGGGAAGAUGUGACUGGCAUUGACAUCAAACUCAACCCUCCCACCAGAAGCACUGGGCACACAAAAUCUACAUAAUGAUGCUUUCACAUAAGAACACCCCUUCAGGACCAAAGUAGGUAACUAUUCCACCUAAAUUUAUAGAGACAGAGAAAGUUAAAUAAAACAAAAAGGUAGAGAACUACUCCCAAUUGAAAGAGCAAGAGAACCCCCCCAAAAUAAACAGAUAACAAGUCUUCCAGACAAUGAAUUCAAAAUAUUGGUAAUAAAAAUGCUAACUGAAUUGGGAAAGAUAAUUCCUCUAACCACAGAUUAUUUUAGCAGGGAACUAGAAAAUGUGAAAAGACACAAACAAAAAUAGAGAAUUCAAUAUCUGAGAUAAAAAGCACUCUAGAAGCAAUGAAUAGAACACCAAAUGACACAGAAAAAUACAUAGGUGAUCUGGAAAACAGAAUAAUGGUAAUCACCCAACCAAAACAGCCAAAAGAGAGACAAAAAUAAAUAAAGUGACAAAUGAGAUCUCUGGUAAAACAUAAAACAUGCUGACAAUCAUAUUUUAGGGGUCCCAGAAGGUGAAGAGAGAGAAAAGGGGAUUGAAAAUGUAUUUGAAGGAAUUAUGGAUCAAAACUUCCCUAUCCUAAAGAAGGAAACAGAUAUUGAGGUUCAGGAAGCAUAGAGGAUAUGAAAGAAGAUUAACUCAGACAGAUCAAGAACAAGACAUAUAAUAAUGACAAGAGUUAAAAACAAAUAGAGAACCCUAAGGGCAACAAGAGAAAGACAAAAAUCAUAUCCAAGAGAUUCCCUAUAAGGCUACUGUCAGAUUAUUCUGAAGAAACUUUUCAGAACAGAAGGGAAUGGAAUGAUAUAUUCAAAGUCAUAAAGGGAAAAACCUGCAACCUAGGAUAGGCUACUAAGAAAGAUUAUCAUUUAGAAAAUAAGGAGAGAUAUAGAAGUUCUCAGAUAAGGAAAAACUAAAAGAAAUUAGCACUAGUAAACCUACCCCCCAAAAUAAUGUUGAAGGGUCUUUUCUAAAUGGAAAAGAAGUAAGAAUCCAUACGAAAGAGAUAAUCACAAUGGAAAUGGCAAAUGUAAAGUAAGGACUGAAGUUCACUUUUUUCCCCUUAAGAUCACUUAGGUAAGACAUUGAUUAAAAGAUGAAAAAAACCCAGUAAUUGCGAAAGCAACUGUAACUUCAAUAAACAGUAAAAAUAUAAGCAUGAACAUGUAAAAUAUGCUAUCCAAACCAUAAAAUAUAUGGAGUCCCCACUGUGGUGCAGGGGAAUUGGCAGUGUCUCUAGAGUGCUGGGACGCAGGUUUGAUCCCCGGCCUGGCAUAGUGAGCUAGGGAUCUGGCAUUGCUGUAGUUGAGGUGGAGGUUGCAAUUAGAGCUCGGAUCUGAUCCCUGGCCUGGGAACUCCAAAUGCUGUAGAGUGUCCAAACAACAACAACAACAAGAAACCCACAAAAUAUGGAAGAGAGGAAUAAAAAAGGAAAGUCUUAGAGUUCCUGUUGUGGCUCAGCAGGUUAAGAACCCGACUAGUGCCCGUGAGGACGUGGGUUCAAUUCCUGGCUUUGUUCAUGGGUUAGGGAUCCGGCAUUGCUGUGAGCUGUGGUGUGGGUCACAGACGCAGCUCAGAUCCCACGUUGCUGUGGCUCUGGCAUAGGCCAGUGGCUGCAGCUCCAAUUCGACCCCUAGCCUGGGAACCUCCAUAUGCUGCGGCCCUAGAAAAGGCAAAAAGACAAAAAACAAAACAAAACAAAAAAACUAAAAAUAGAGCUGCCUAUGCUCCAGCAAUCCCACUCCAGGGCAUAUACCCAGACAAAAUUCCAAUUCGAAAAGAUACCUGCAGCCCAAUGUUCACUGCAGCACUAUUUACAAUAGCCAAGACAUGGAAGCAACCCAAAUGUCCAUCAACAGAUGAAUAAAUAAGGGAGAUGUCGUAUGUGUACACAAUUGAAUACUGCACAGCCAUAAAAGAGGAAUGAAAUAAUGCCAUCUGCAGCAACAUGGAUGGACUUAAAAGUUGUCACAUUUAGUGAAAUAAGUCACAGGAACACAAAUAACAUAUGAUAUAAACUAUAUGUGGAAUAUAAAAAAAUGAUAUGAAUGAACUUAUUUAUAAAACAGAAAUAAACUCGCAGACAUAGAAAACAAACAUGGCUACCAAAAGGGACAGCACACUGGGGGAACUAUAUUCAAUGUCUUGUAAUAACCUAUAAUGGAAAAGAACCUGAAAAAAUAUAUAUAACUGAAUCACUUUGCUGUACACUUGUAACUAAUAUGACAUUAUAAAUUAACUAUACUUCAAUUUUAAAAAUAGUUAAAAUAUAUGUAGAUGUACCACAGCAAGAACAACAAUUAAAAAAAUUGACUUCUCUUCCACAAAGAAAUAUGUAGGCAGGACCCUAGGUGGCGAUAUGAAUCUGCAAAUCAGAUCUUCAGCCAGUAAAGAAAACUUACUAGUCCAGGUAAAGUAGUUUUGAGAGGACAAUCGGGAUAUCUACAUUAAACAAACAAACAAACAAAACAAAAAAAAA